rnacentral:rRNA from 1 species
CCUACGGGUGGCAGCAGUGGGGAAUAUUGGACAAUGGGCGAAAGCCUGAUCCAGCCAUGCCGCGUGUGUGAAGAAGGCCUUCGGGUUGUAAAGCACUUUCAGUGGGGAAGAAAGCCUUGGGGCUAAUACCCUCGAGGAAGGACAUCACCCACAGAAGAAGCACCGGCUAACUCCGUGCCUGCAGCCGCGGUAAUACGGAGGGUGCGAGCGUUAAUCGGAAUUACUGGGCGUAAAGCGCGCGUAGGCGGUCUGAUAAGCCGGUUGUGAAAGCCCCGGGCUCAACCUGGGAACGGCAUCCGGAACUGUCAGGCUAGAGUGCAGGAGAGGAAGGUAGAAUUCCCGGUGUAGCGGUGAAAUGCGUAGAGAUCGGGAGGAAUACCAGUGGCGAAGGCGGCCUUCUGGACUGACACUGACGCUGAGGUGCGAAAGCGUGGGUAGCAAACAGGAUUAGAUACCCGUGUAGUC